rnacentral:rRNA from 1 species
AGAGUUUGAUCAUGGCUCAGGACGAACGCUGGCGGCGUGCCUAACACAUGCAAGUGGAGCGACGAACCAGGGCUUGCCCUGGGGCAAAGCCGCGAACGGGUGAGUAACACGUGGGUUACCUGCCCCAAUGACCGGGACAACCCAAGGAAACUCGGGCUAAUACCGGAUGUGCCCGCAAGGGCAAAGGAAGCCUCGGCCUCCGCAUUGGGAUGGGCCCGCGGCCCAUUAGCUUGUUGGUGGGGUAAUGGCCUACCAAGGCAACGAUGGGUAGCUGGUCUGAGAGGACGAUCAGCCACACUGGGACUGAGACACGGCCCAGACUCCUACGGGAGGCAGCAGUGGGGAAUCUUGCGCAAUGCGCGAAAGCGUGACGCAGCAACGCCGCGUGGGGGAAGACGGCCUUCGGGUUGUAAACCCCUUUUCAGUUGGGACGAAGCUCAGCCGGUGAAUAGCCGGUAUGAGUGACGGUACCUUCAGAAGAAGCACCGGCUAACUACGUGCCAGCAGCCGCGGUAAUACGUAGGGUGCAAGCGUUGUCCGGAAUUAUUGGGCGUAAAGAGCGUGUAGGUGGUUCGAUCAGUCCGCUGUGAAAGCCCAGGGCUUAACCCUGGAAUGCCGGUGGAUACUGUCGGGCUAGAGUCCGGAAGGGGCGAGUGGAAUUCCUGGUGUAGCGGUGAAAUGCGCAGAUAUCAGGAGGAACACCUAUGGCGAAGGCAGCUCGCUAGGACGGUACUGACACUGAGACGCGAAAGCGUGGGGAGCAAACAGGAUUAGAUACCCCCGUAGUCC